CAGUUCCCAUAUGAUCACAAAAGUUAAGCAAUGUUGAGCAUGGUCAGUACCAUGAUGGGUGACUGCUUGGGAAUAGCAAGUGCUGUA